rnacentral:rRNA from 1 species
GCAAGUCGAGCGGGGGAAGGUAGCUUGCUACUGGACCUAGCGGCGGACGGGUGAGUAAUGCUUAGGAAUCUGCCUAUUAGUGGGGGACAACAUUCCGAAAGGAAUGCUAAUACCGCAUACGUCCUACGGGAGAAAGCAGGGGACCUUCGGGCCUUGCGCUAAUAGAUGAGCCUAAGUCGGAUUAGCUAGUUGGUGGGGUAAAGGCCUACCAAGGCGACGAUCUGUAGCGGGUCUGAGAGGAUGAUCCGCCACACUGGGACUGAGACACGGCCCAGACUCCUACGGGAGGCAGCAGUGGGGAAUAUUGGACAAUGGGGGGAACCCUGAUCCAGCCAUGCCGCGUGUGUGAAGAAGGCCUUAUGGUUGUAAAGCACUUUAAGCGAGGAGGAGGCUACUAGUAUUAAUACUACUGGAUAGUGGACGUUACUCGCAGAAUAAGCACCGGCUAACUCUGUGCCAGCAGCCGCGGUAAUACAGAGGGUGCGAGCGUUAAUCGGAUUUACUGGGCGUAAAGCGUGCGUAGGCGGCCAUUUAAGUCAAAUGUGAAAUCCCCGAGCUUAACUUGGGAAUUGCAUUCGAUACUGGAUGGCUAGAGUAUGGGAGAGGAUGGUAGAAUUCCAGGUGUAGCGGUGAAAUGCGUAGAGAUCUGGAGGAAUACCGAUGGCGAAGGCAGCCAUCUGGCCUAAUACUGACGCUGAGGUACGAAAGCAUGGGGAGCAAACAGGAUUAGAUACCCUGGUAGUCCAUGCCCGAAACGAUGUCUACUAGCCGUUGGGG